rnacentral:lncRNA from 1 species
CUCAUUUUGAAACUACAACACAAAGAUUAUAACAUUUUUCCUUAGAAGAAAAAAGAAAAGGAGAAGAAAAGAACCUGAACAUAUUUAAGGGAACAACAGCGUGAAGUUGAUCAAUCAUCUUUUAAUAAGUGAGCAAUGAACCCAUGACGAAGAGCAUCAUGGCUGCUAUUUCCGCUGUGAAAAUUGGACGGCAGCCUCAACCACCAAAUUAGAAUUUGAAACUUAAGCUUCCUGACGCUCCCGGAUUUCAACCCAAAACAUAAUCCUUAGUCAAAUUGGAAAGAAUUUUUAAAAGUAAAUUUCAUAGGUACACGAAACAAAAACUAAAUAUAAUCAUCAUAAAACAUAAUCAUAAAAAUCUUUACAGAAACAAACAAAACUUUCAGAAGUCUAACACCAAAUUGAAUAGAAUUAAUUGAAUAGAAUUUGACAAAUUCUUGAUGGUAGAAUAAAAAUGGAGACAAAAUAUUGAGAGUAUAUAAGAAGAAAGAAGAAUUGUUAUCAUAUACAACGUGUAAAAAAAAAUCUUUCUUUUUGUUUUUUCAUUGUUAUCAUAUACAACCGGCUAAUGACAGAGUAAGUCCAACAUUGGAAGCUUACGUACCUAAGUCAGGAAAAAGGAUUCGACGGGUCUAUAUAUACAGACAAUUUAAAUAUUCCAAUUCAUUAUUCGAAGUGUCAAUAUGAAUCCUUUUCAUGUGUUUCAAUCUCGUCAUGUACAUCUGCCAAGAAAUUAAAAGGGAAAAAAAAUUAUAAGGGUUGGUUAAUGUCUUGUCAAACUACAUGAAUUUAUUAAUUUUUUGGAAAUAUUCAACAAUUAAUCAAGUUUCAUAAACAUUUGAAAAGAAGAACUGCAAAUUAACAACUUCUUGAAAACUACUUAUAAAAGAGUCCAUUGAUACGUCACGAAUGAGAACUAUUACCAAUGAAAUCAAAUUAAAAGGAAAUCUUUUGAAUGUUUCCAUGGAGCAAUAAAAUCAAGAAUAUGAAGACAAAAAAUAGUAAGAAUAGAGAGAAUAUUGUUUUGCAAGAGAAGUUUUUGACAGAUAAAGUGCAAGUAAUGGCUCGAAACUUACCAAACUUUAUGGAUUAAAAGAUUUAUGGGUGACACUUCAAUUUUCGGCUCAUCAAUAUUUUUUGGAAGAUUUCUGUGUGCGAUUCUUUGCAGAACGAAAUACUAAAUUAUUGAUAUGCAAUUUGAAU